GGCCAGUUAGCUCAAUUGGUUAGAGCACAGUGCUCAUAACACCAAGGUUGCCGGUUCGAUCCCGGCAUGGGCCA